rnacentral:tRNA from 1 species
GUCAUAGUAGCUUAAUGAAAGCGUAGCACUGAAGCCGCUAAAAUGGGACCAAACCCUCCCCGAUGACA